rnacentral:rRNA from 1 species
AUGGCAGUCCACGUUGUCAUUGCCAUCGUCCUUCAGCUGAAGAAAUUGUGCAAGGAGGGCGCAUAUUGGGGUGCUGUUGCUGGAGUGUAUGUAGGGAUGGAGUAUGGAGUGGAAAGGGUCCGCGGAGAGUAUGACUGGAUGCGGCAGCUCAAGGGCGAGGUCAACAUCUUCUCCAGGGCCGACGGGUCGGCGUUGUUCAAGGUGGGCAACACCAGGGUCAUCGCCGUCGUCUACGGCCCCUGA